rnacentral:lncRNA from 1 species
AUCCCUCCAGUGCAAACCAGUCCGGCUGCUUUAGAAACAAGUUGUUUUCUGCUUCCAGAACCACCCAGGAGCCUGCGUGAUGUCUCUUCCCCCACCCGACCCCCUCUUCCCUCUGCCGGUCUCCUUGCUCCAGGUGUGGAGCAGAGAAAAGGCUAUACCCACUGAUGAACAGGGAUCCACACCUGGGGAAGAAGCAAGUAUGACUUUCUCUCCUGUGGCUUUACACAACCUCCUUGAAAUUCCAAGAGCAACCCUCCCAGCUAAAGUCUUCUCAGAUGUGACACAUAAGCCUUCACCCAACAUGAUUCCCAUUUCAUGAAUGGGCUAUAUGCCAAUGGAGAAGAAAUGAAGACAAGAAAUAUCACUCUAGAGGCAAUCAUAAUCAUAGUUUUAAAACAACAAUCUCUAUCUGAGUGGGGUAUUACACAUCUGUGGGUAUGUUAAAGUUCAUCCACAGGCUCUGCCCUUAGGAUUACAGCAUUUUCUUCAUUUUACUUUAUGUAUGUUACCCUCAAUUUAAUAAAAAACAAGAAGCAAACAA